rnacentral:lncRNA from 1 species
CGGAGCAGUUUCCUUCCAGAAUCUUUCCCUCCGUCAGAUCCCGGGCCCUGGCCAGCUGGGGCAGGGUGUGGGCACGGCUCGGGAGGCCCCUGGGCAGGCAAACUUCUUCUGGGCCCGGUACCUGUCCUGUAACCUAACUUCACAUACCCCACCCCCACCCCCGUUCCUCUGCCCUGAGGUUGGGAUCCCCUCCCCUCCCUGGUCCCUGACAGGACCUUCCCCCUUUGCUGAGGGGAAGACACUUCCUUUCCUAGAGGUGGCCUCCACCUGGAUGAAACCUUUCGCACCAGGGACGGCAUUUGGGGCCUUGCUGUCUGCAACGCCCUGUGCGUCUUUUCCCAGGAAGCUCCGGAGGGUGUACUCCCUACAGGAGGGAGCAGAGAGAGGCGCCGGGGAUGGGGGACUGGGGCCCCAACAGGAAGGAGGGACGUGGUGCCCCGGGCUGCCCACCUGGGGGCAGUCACUCUGAGGGAGGGGCGGGAUCCGGGAACUCCACCAGGCAAGAAAGAGGAGAGCGGUGGAUUUGCGUGUCUGUGCAGACGGAGAAGUGACCUGCCUUCCUGUUGGCAUGUGUGUGUGUGGGGGGGACCACUCAGACAGAAAAACAAGCUCCCCAAGGACUUGGGGGACAAAAUUCCUCCCUCCUACUAGAGCCUCACCCCUGGUUCUCUUCACCACUCCCACCUCCAUCAUGGCCCCAGGAUGCAGCUCCUGGUCAUCACAGUGUGUGGUACCCAGUCUGAAAACCAGAGUCCACUGCCCUCUGCCUACUAAUGGGGACACCGAGGGUCAGUGAUGCACCCAGGGCCACGCAGGGAGGAGGUUUAUCUGCGACAUUUUUGAGAGUUCCUUCUGAUUAAUUUAAAACAAGAUCAGUGGGAGGCUGAGGCAGGAGGGUCACCAUUUUGAGGCCAACCUCAGCGACUUAGCAGGACCCUAUCUCAACAGGCCGGGAGGUGUAGCUCCGAGGUCGAGUGCUCACCUGGCGUGUGCAAGGCCCAGGGUUCAAGCCUUGGCACUGAGGUUUCUGAGUUACUCUGUCACCUAUUACGGAGAUGUAAUUGAGUUUUCCCAGACGACGGCCAGCAAGCUCCUUGGGGAGCUUUUAUUUAUCUAUUUUUAAAUAACCAAGGUCAAGUCGGACGUGGUGGACCACAUCUGUAAUCCCAGUGACUCAGGAGGCUGAGGCAGGAGCAUCCCAAGUUCAAAGCCAGCCUCAGCCUGGCUGAGGCCCUAAGCAACUCAGUGAGACCCUGUCUCAAAAUAAAAACACAAUACAAUAAAAUUAAAAAGUAAAAAUAAAAACAGGCUGGGGAUGUAACUCAGUGGUAAAGCACCCCUGAGUUUAAUCCCCAGACCCCCCCCCCCCCCCCUCACAAAAAAAAACCAAGGCCAAUGUCCUCUUGCAAGUUCAAAAACCCUAAGUUUUUCCUGUAACAGACUUUCCAGUGGUCUCGCUUUUGAUUUUUCUGCCUUCCCACUGCCUUCUCCAAGGGCCAGGCCAACCUCCAAGUGUUUGUUAUUCAGGGUUAAGGAUAAAAAUGCCCCCUGGAGUAUCUGCAUCGUAAUCAGGAAUUCUAGGAAACCCACAGUCCACAACCUUGAGGUGACAGUCCUUCUUGGAGCCCGAGUGUCCUGGUCUCCGGACCUCAUCACCUUCCUGAUGAACAGGGCGGCCUUGGAAGCUCAAUGGAGAGACCUGAUGGGGGCGAGAACCCUGGCCUGGAAGUGAGGAGCCCUGGACUUGAGUCUCAUGCCUGUGCCUUGAUUGCUGUGUGACCUUGUGCAACUUACUCAUUCUCUCUGGUCUGCAGCUUGCUCUCUGCAAAACCGACAGCUGGGACCCAGUGACCUCCCUCUUAGACUCCUUUCAUCCUGUGACCUGGAGCCUCCGGUGUGACUCAGGAUGGCCCGGCCCUCCGUGCCACGUGCUCGGCCCCGAGGCCCUCCAUCCCUCCAUCCUUCCAUCCCUCCAUCCCGGCAGGCGCUCCCCUCCCUCGUCCUGCCCACGGCGGGGCCUGGCAGGCGCGGGGCUGCUGUGGCAGGAGCCGGGGUGAGGAACAAUCCCAGCCCUUCAGGCUGCGUGGCAGGAGCUGGCAGCCGGCCAGGCACAAUAGCCCCGAGGUACAGAGGGGCGUUUGUCUGGGGACCCACAGCUUCAUGGAACCCUGCCCUCAGCCUCCCCUUCCCCCCACCCUCUCAGACGGCAGUGCCGCCCCAGCCUGGUCGUGAGAUGGGACAGGGCCGCUGCUCAGCCCUGAGCAGCCUGCAGUGGCCUGGGAGCUGGGAGGCCGGAAAAGACAAGGGGGUGGCAGGAAGGCAGGGAGCCCCGAGUGGGGCCAGGGGGACCCCAGACAGGGGGGAGGGGCAGACGCUGCAGGGACAGGGCAGGGGCUGUAGAGAGAGGGACAGGGACGGGCCCUGAGCCCUCACUGACUAGUGAAGAGACUGUGGGCCGGGGCUUCCUCCUCGCUGGGCCUCAGUUUCCUCAGCUGUAAAAUGGGGUGACUGUCCUGCCCUGAUGUUCUGAGGACUCCACUAAAUAAAAUCGGGGCUCGUGACGGCCGUGGGGCGUCAGGGAGAGCAAGGGUGGACCCAGGAGUCGGGUCCAAGGGCACCUCGACACCCCUGAACUCACUCUUGGGGACAGACCAUUCACACUCCUCGUUGUCCUCUGGACUGAGUAAGAAAGGCUGGAGGCGCCCUGCCUGGUGCCUGGCGAAGGCCGGAGGACUCGGCCACGGCCACACCCUGAUCCUCGUGGACCCUCUAUUACCAUACAUUUUUGUGGUCUCUAUUUUUUUCCAAUAUGAGGGAAAAAGAACUGAAACAUUUUCUUCCACCUUCAAAGGACCCCUCUCCCCAAUUUUAAGAGCCGCCAAACCCUCCUUGGGGUCCUCCAGAGUAAGCCUCGUCUGCUGUGCCCAGGGGCUCUGGCCUUGCUUCGGAGUUCUCUGGGUCCUCACCGGCCCUGGGCAGUGUCGCCAAGUUCCGCUGGACGCCAGGAACCUCGUCUCUGAGGAAUCCACCUUGGGCUCAGGGUCCCGCGACGCCGGUGCCCCCCACUGCACAGAGCUGAGCUCAGGGGCCCUGUUAGUGCCACCCCUCCUAGUUUCAAUGUGGCUGAGCCCUGUCCCCAGAGGCAGGUGGGACCCCAGAGAACCUCGGGUCUGGGAGAGUCCAGGUGAGCCCCAUGGCGAGGGGCGGGUGUGUGGCUGGGCCGGACUCUUCAGGAACCAGGGUGGUGGGUGGUGAGCCUCUGGCGCCCUGCUGUGCUUGUCCCUUUGUCACGGCCUCUGUGCCAGCAGAGGUGCUUGGGCCUUCACGCUCGUGGUCCCAGUGAAUCCUCAUGGCACACCAUUCUGCUUCACACCCAAGGAGACAGGCCCAGAGAGGCUGGGUAACCCGUCCAGAGUCACAGAGCCACCAGGGCAGGAUGGGACCCGUCUCCUGUUCCCCACAGCCCUCCCUCCCCCCUCCUUAAAGUGUUGGGGGAGGGUGGGGGGACUUUCAGGGCCAGUAGACACCGAGGAAAGUGAGGGGCGGGUGCAGGAAGGAGGUUCUGGAGGACGUGCAGGUGCGCAAGGCGCCGUGCUCCCGGGGCCACCCUUGUCCUCCCAGGUGAGGGUCUGAGCAGCGGCAGGGCCGCUGCUGGUAUGUGGGCCUCCCUGUCUGGGGGACGUGCCAGGUGGGGCUGUCGCUGAACAGGCGAGAGGUCCUCUCCCCCUUGCCAAGCUGCUCAGAGCCAGUUCUGUUUACCCAGAAACCAGAGCGGGCGCAGGGCUCAGCCCAAACCGGCCCCCUUCAGGGCCCACAGAGGAAGGAGUGGCGGAGGCCAGGCCGGGCCUCAGGCUCAGAGGGAGGAGGGGGAGUGCUAGUUCCAGCCCAUCUCUGUCCCCAGAUCACUCACUGGCUGGGUGGGUGCUGCACCCUCCGUGUGACCCAUCCGCCCAGGGGAGGACGGAGAAGGACCCACUGCAAACCUACCAGCUGCGCCGAGCCCACCCUGAGAGCCCUUAGGUGAGAAGAGUGGCCAGGGUUAAUCGAAACACCCAAACUCAGCCUGUUCCUUUUUGCUUUGGGAACGUGGUCCAGAGAGCUUUUAAGUGGCACCUGUGGCCCAUAUUAUGCAGAAGGGCACUGAUGGACACUCUGCCCUUCCUCGGCUGCCUCCCCACCAACACGCACACAUUCAUUUGUUCAGUGCGCUCAGGGAAUAUUCAUGAGCUGGAGAGCGUUAAACACGGGAGACAGAAGGAAAGGAUCCCUGUGGCCUUUGAGCCACAGGAGCUUCUGAACUCUGCCUCAAAGAUCCCUCGCGGCUUGUGUCGCGCACACCCACAUCCUGAAACGCUGCCCUGCUUACUUUCACACUUACUUCUGGAAGGGCUUCCUAACCUUGUCUGCCUGGCAAACUUCUAUUUAUGCUUCAAAGCCCCAAAACCUUCACCCACUUCAAACACUUACGUCAUCUAGGCCUUCACUAAUUUUUUUUUUUAAAAGCCACCUCUUGAGGACUCCACCAUCACCUCCACUCUCUCCGAGGACUCUUCCCUACUAAUUUUGGGAUGUCUGCAGUUUGACGAAGUCAUCAAGGUCAUUGUCACCUCCCAUCUUCCUUCCCCUCCUCCCAGGAACUCUGCCUCACUUACCCUCUUUAACUUUCUCUGCAGAAGAGCCACCGUCUGAAACCACCUAGGUUGUGACCUGUCUGUCCUCUACAGAAGUGAGAUUCCCUGCAAGGGCUCUGGUCUUCCUCCUCCCAGGGCAAGGUCCAGUGCCUGUCGCGGUUCUUGGGGCCCUGAAGGCACCUGGGAUGUGCAGAUGGUGGACGCUGGCAGCCGAGGGCAGGAUGUGAACCACAGGCCCUGGAGCUGGAUUGCGGGGUUCUAAUCCCGGCCUUUUCUCAGACCCCAUUGACGGUCAUGGUCAUCAUCAAAUCAUGCAGUUAGCUACGGUGAUCAUCACAGACCUGUCCCCAGCUGCUCCAGCAGUGGCCUGAGCGCCCAGGCUGUGUCUGGGUCCUGCCAUGCCCAGCACGUCUCAGAAUCUGUCUUCCCAUUGCAGAAAUGACACUGACACCCACCUGCAGCUUCUGAAGCCAGAAACCUAAGGUCACUACUGUCACCGGCGCAUCACCCCAUCACCAAGCUCUUUCAGAUGGAUCUUUGUUUCCUACAGAUGCCCUUGUCUCCCCGUCUUCCCCACCUGUCCAGUCCAGGCCUCUCAAGAUCUGCACCUGGUAGCUCCCUGCAGGAGCUCAGUCUAUCAGUCACUCCUGCCCCAGCCCCAGGGCCUUUGCAUGUGCCAGGCCACUCUUUCCUCCCCCACUGAUUUCUCUGAUGCUUUAGUCACAUCAAAUCUCCACACCGUGCCCUGUCACAGGGCUGUUUCCCCUGCUGGCCACUGGUGGUAGUCAGCAUCUUCCACCAGUGACAGAGCCCCACCCAGGACUCUGAAGCAGGAGUGUCAAGGGUGCUAUUAAGCCCUCCAGCCCCAGUGCCUUGAGCACCACGUGGCACAUCAUGGGGGGUUGCUCUGUGUCCCACGAACGAAAUGAAUUCCCAGCUACGCGAGUGAGCGGAGGGUGCUCAAAAAUGGACCUGCAGCCCGGGCAAGGGUGGAGCCUGGGCCAGGUGUGUGCUUUCCCCUCCACACAUGGCUGCCGUGGUGACACCCGUGUGACACUGAGCACAAGUCAGCCCGGGGGCUGUGGACCUGGGGGGCGGCUGCCUGGGGAGCUGGAAUCUGAGGGCACCGUGGUCACUGUGCUCCUGGGCUACGGGGUCACAGCGACCUGGGUCUGAGUCCCAGGGAGAAAGUAGAAGCCGCACCUGCCCAGUUCCCAGGGCCCAGCCCUGCCGAGGACUGGACUGUCCCCCCAGCAGAUGCCUAUUAGCGUCUAAAACUUAUAUGUGAGGACGCAGAGGCACCAGGGGCUAAGCUCCUAUCCAAGAUGACCAGCUGGGAGAGGACGUUCCUUUUCUCCAAGACCCACCUGAAGUCCCUGCCUAUGUCAAGUGGCCAGCCUCCCCGAGGCCCCGCCCAUCCUCCCCCAGCAGGUGCCUGGUCAGCAUCGGCCCACACUCUGCUGUCCGUGGCCGCCAGACCCAUCUCCUUCCUUCCUCCCUUCUUUCCUUUCCGACUGGCAUUGAACCCAGGGGCGCUUGACCACAGAGCCACAUCCUGGCCCUUUUCAUAUUUCUAUUUAGAGAUAGGGUCUGAGUUUCUCAGGGCCUUGCUGAGUUGCUGAGGCUGGCUUUGAACUCACGAUCUUCCUGCCUCAGGAUCUGACUUCAGAGUCUGGCCCACAUUUUGGGGACUCGAUAAUCCCAGCAGCUAGGGAGGCUGAGGCAGGAGGAUCGUGAGUUCACAGCCAGCCUCAGCAAAAGUGAGGCCCUAAGCAACUCAGUGAGACCCUGUCUCUAAAUAAAAUACAAAACAGGGCUGGGGAGGUGGCUCCGUGGUCGAGUGUCCCUGAGUUCAAUCCCUGGCACCAAAUAAAUAAAUAAAAUAGACAUAACAAGCACUUACUAUGUGCCAAGCACCUCUCUAAAAACUUCACAAAUGAUUUUUAUUUGAAUAGUUUGUAACCCACCUCAUUCCAAAAGAACUCUGUGAGGUGAGUAUCAGGGUCUUCAUCUUAGGGGUGAAGAAACCGAGUUUUAGAGAAGCCAAGUAACUUGUCUGGGGUCACACAGCCAGUGAAGGUGGCAGACUUGGGUGGAAAUGAGGCUGAAUACUCCAGAAUUCAAGCUGUCACCUGUCUGCCUCACUGCCUCGGCUCAGUGAGUGAGAAUCACUAUUAUUUACCGAGAUUUUGUAGGGGGGGAAGGGAGGAGUGCCGUCCUAGCCGGGAGGACAGUGGGGAGAACACAGUCAGGAGGGGAGUGUAGGAUUGGGGGGGAGGGACAGUGAGGUCUCAGCACCGUGGAGCUGAGGGCCCAGGGAAGGCCAGAGUGUAGAUGAGACCUGAGGGAUAGAGUGGGAAUUCAACCUCCAUGGAAGGAACCAGCAUGAGCUUCUGUCAAGAAUCCCUACGGGAUGGAUUCCAUGGGAGGUAGGAGUGUGAAAAGUAGGAGUGUCAGAACCUGACAGCUCUGCUGGGUGGCCUUUGGAAAGUUACUUAACCUCUCUGUGCCUCCAUUUCCUGUUCCAUAAAAUGGAGGUAGUAACAGGCCCCCCCCCCCUUCACUGGAUCGUUGUCUGGGAGAAAUAAAAUAAUAAAUGUCAAGCCCCUGAUGGUGUCUGGCAGAAAGCCACCAUUUAACAUAGUUCAUUUCCCUCCCUUCCCCAAGACCUCUCCAGCUGUGCCAGAAUCAAGAGUAAACUACGGUUUCAAAGCGUGUCUGAGACUGAGAAGAAAGAAGAGUUGAUUUCCGUGUCGCCUCUGCGUUAUAAACUGAACUUCCCAGCUCGGUGCCCGGAGAGGGGGGUGCUCAGGAGGCAGGCUGGCAGCAACAAAAAUAAAGAGUUCUGCCCUCGCUGUCCCGGGCCGCGGCCGGGCAGAAGCUGGUGAGGCCUGAACUUGGCGCUGCAGGGCAGGGGACCUGGGAUCCAGGCCCAACCCUUCCUGGGACAUGGACAUGUCACAAGCCAGCACCUGGUUAGGCACUGGGUGCCCUGGGAGGCUAGCUUCCAGCAUGGCGGGGAGCCGGGGUGGGGGGGCCUGCAAUCCCCACCCCCUGCCUCCCACGCCUGUGCCCCCCAGUCCUGCCUCCUGCCUCCUCCAGACCUUGGAUUUUUAAAAAAAUUCUCUUGAUGGGAUUUGUCCCCUCUUGUGAGAUGCCCUCCUUCCCUCAGCCCCUCGACCCAGGAGUAGACAGAGGGCGGGCUUUGGAAUUAGACCGGGUUUGAAUUCUGACAGUCUGGUCACCUUGGGCUCAUGACCCCUCUAGGCCCAUUUCCUCCACUGUAAACUGGGCUUUGUGACUCCUGUCUCCUUCCUUUAUGUGACCACCAAUGGUGCCAAAUAUUUAGCCUUACUGUAUACACCAGGCACUGGGAGAGGAUUUGCGGGCCUAAGUCCCAUUCCUUUUCCUCCAAGACCCACCUGAAGUCCCUGCCUAUGUCAAGUGGCCAGUCUCCCCGAGACCCCGCCCAUCCUCCCACAGCAGGUGCCUGGUCAGCACCCGCCUAGGCUGUGGUGUCCGUGGCCGCCAGGUCAUCUCCUUCCUCCCUCCCUCCCUUCCUUUCAUACUGGCAUUGAACCCAGGGGGGCUUAACCACGGAGCCGGGGCCUUUUAAUAUUUUAAUUUAGAGACAGGGUCUGCCUGAGUUGCUUAGCGCCUUUUUUUAGAACCACACACGCCAAACAAAACAGCCUCUCAGGAAAAACCCUCAGAGCCUCAACUGCCACCACCGGCUUUCCACAAGCCUCUCUCUCCCACACAAGCUUCUCUCCACCUCCCACAAUCCUCCUGCUCUUGAGGCCGAUUGGCUGGGUCACGUGGGCGGAGCCAAAAAAGUCCCCCAAUGAGCAGCUCCGUGGUCUGAAAGGGCAGGGACUUCCAGCUGCCAGCAAACUUCCAGCUGCCGGCUGGUGAUUGGCUCACAGCGCGCCUUGCUGUUGCUGAGGCUGGCUUUGAACUCCCGGUCCUCCUGCCUCAGCCUCCCAUCCACUGGGAUUUCAGGGCGUGGGCUGCCAAGCCCGGUGCCUGGCCUCUUUCCGUUGGAGGAGCUCCCUGGGGACAAACCUGCCUCAGUUACAGCCAGGCUGCCGGCACCCAGCAGGGGAAGGGGUGAGUGAAAGCUGCAGGGCGGGGGAGGGUGCGCCAACAGAGGGCGCGGUGGGCACUGGCACUGCCUGGUCCUCUGCUCUGACUCCCUGAGCUCAGGCCGCCAGCCCCCCUCAGCUCUCUGGAGCCUCCUCUGGGCCCCCGUAGCUCCUGGACCUGGAUCAGGCUUUUCUAACCCAAAACUAGGAUGUUCACCCUGAGGGACGGCGGCCGUGGGGACCAUGCAGUGGCCAAGUGGGGAAGCUACAGGGUGACACAGUGGAGCAGCUCUGGACUUCCUAGGUUGGCCCGGUCGUGGGCUCCCUGGCCUGGCCAUGCAUGCAGGCUGCAGGAAUCAUCUCCCAAGGGCUCAGGAGGUGACGUGCUUUCUCUGCUGCGAUGGGGCGGGGACAUGGUCCUGUGCAGGAUCAGAGGCCGAAGCAGGAGCCACUUACGGAAACGGAAUCGGAAUUGUUCAAUUUUACCUCCCAACCAAGUCUCCCCCAUGUCAUAGAUCGCUUCAAACGGGCUACAGAAUAGAGCCCAAUUCUGUCUCAGCAACCAAGGUCUCCUGAGGCUGCUGUGCCUUCUCCUUCGCUGACUUCCUCCCUCGCCCACCCAGGGCAGAACGGGGGACUUCCUGUCCCCUGGUCUCACCAGCACUUCCCCCUGCGGCCAGCUGUGGUUUCAAAAGGGCCCCACGGUGCGCCAGACCACGCCCCCAAUGAGUGGCAGCGCCAUCUCCCCCUCCCCUGACCUGGGUGGGCCCUGGCUGCUCAGAGCACCAGCACAUGUUGGAAGUGGCGUUGGCUUUCUGGAUAUUGUCCCCAAGUGGCAGCCUCUGCUUCCUGCCUCAGGGGAGGUACCUGCUCUAGGUGACAGCCCCCGCGGAGCUCCCAAGUGCCCAGCGUGGUGCAAAGUCCUGGGAGGGAGCCAUCAUCGACCCCCAAGCUGCUGAGCCUUCAGAACAUCAGGCCACAACCACAGAACCCCCUGAGCACCCCCCAGCGGAUCCCAGUCAGCUGAAGGUGGCAGAGAACAGGUACCAGUCUGCACCCACCCACCCACUCCACCAUGGCACCCACCACUCCUGUCAGGGCCUCUCACACCUCUGCCCUCUCCUAAAAAUGGUUUGCAACAGUCACGAUGGCUUUGUAUUGAGAUCCCUUGUUCCUUUUAAGACAGGCUUAAACUUAUUCCAAAACAGAGAUUUUCCUUCUUUCUCCGCCGACCCCUGCCCCUCCUCCCAUUUGGGAUUGAACUUGGCCUCGCACACCGAGCUGCAUUCCCCAGCUCCCUAAACAGAAAAUUCCUAUCACUUCUCAAAAUGGAAACCAGUGUCACUUGCCAUUAAUAGAAAGUAACAAAAGAAAUCAGAUGAAACAAUGUCAUUAAAUUCCAGCCAGACAGGGCCACCUUCCAAAGUGUCUGAGCCCAGGGCUCACCGUUUCCUCUUGGAAAGCUAAGGAACAGUGCUGCAGGGACACUGGUGACACAGUCAACCAGGCCCUGAGUUCCAGGACCCGGGGUGACACACAUCAGCUUUGGGAUCCCCGGGUCUGGAACUGAGCCAGGUGGCCUUGGAUGCAGCAGAGCUGGGCAGCCUGUGACCCCUGCUGGACUGACUUUGGCGCUCACUGGUCCCCGGAUCAAGGUUCCCCCGGAUCAAGGUUCCCCGGAUCUGGCCGGCUCUCAGGAUUUAGGAAGGCCCCCAACUUUCCAAUACUGUUUUUCAAAAACUAGGUGUGUGUGUGUGUGUGUGUGUGUAAAAUACUCUUCUUCCCAAAGUGGCGAACACCGUUCCUGCUUCUGGCACUGAACUUGGACUUGCCACCCUACCCGUCCCCAGCUCUCGCAGCACCUCCGGGGGCUGUUUCUGUCGUUAUUUCCGUAUUUCCUCUGGGAGCACUCUCAAUGUGGCCUUUGUGUGUCCACCUUCUGAGGCUUUAUUUGCCCAAGAAUAUUUUUUUAAUGACCUCAUGUUUAAGUGACAGUUUGGCUGCCUUGGAGAUGCUGGAUUGAAAGGUUCUUUUCUUUCAGUCCUUUAUGACAUUACCUCCCCGGCUUCCUUUGUGGGGUGUUGUUAGGGAGAACUCUGUCCGUCUGAGCCUUGCUGCUGGGUCCGUGAUCUGCUGUUUCUGCUCCUCCUCCUUUUCCUUCACGUUUCUAACUUUGCCAUUGUGUCUCUGGGUCUUUCUUCCUCUGUUGGCUCUUGCAUGGGUCCUUUCAAUCUACCUUCAUUCACAUCCCUGUCAUUUUGGAAUAUUUAAUCUCCAUUAUUUCUGCAGAGCGCCAGCCAGGACAAGCGGCUUCUUCACCUUUAGGUUCCCAGGGAGAAGUGGACAGUGAGGAGGAGACACUCUCGUGAGAUUCAC